UCCCUGGAAGACUAGUGGUUAGGCUAACGCGUACUCACCGCUGUGGCCUGGGUUUGAUUCCCGGGCAGGGAA